GCCAGGCACGGUGGCGCACACCUGUAAUCCCAGCUAUUUGGGAGGCUGAGGCAGGAGAAUCGCGAGUUCAAGGCCAGCCAGGGCAACUUGUGAGAACUUGUCUCAA
rnacentral:sRNA from 1 species